GACGAACGCUGGCGGCGUGCCUAGUACAUGCAAGUUGAGCGCUGAAGGUUGGUACCUGUACCAACUGGAUGAGCAGCGAACGGGCGAGUAACGCGUGGGGAAUCUGCCUUUGGGCGGGGGACAACAUUUGGAAACGAAUGCUAAUACCGCAUAAAAACUUUAAACACAAGUUUUAAGUUUGAAAGAUGCAAUUGCAUCACUCAAAGAUGAUCCCGCGUUGUAUUAGCUAGUUGGUGAGGUAAAGGCUCACCAAGGCGAUGAUACAUAGCCGACCUGAGAGGGUGAUCGGCCACAUUGGGACUGAGACACGGCCCAAACUCCUACGGGAGGCAGCAGUAGGGAAUCUUCGGCAAUAGACGAAAGUCUGACCGAGCAACGCCGCGUGAGUGAAGAAGGUUUUCGGAUCGUAAAACUCUGUUGGUAGAGAAGAACGUUGGUGAGAGUGGAAAGCUCAUCAAGUGACGGUAACUACCCAGAAAGGGACGGCUAACUACGUG
rnacentral:rRNA from 1 species